rnacentral:rRNA from 1 species
CCUACGGGUGGCAGCAGUAGGGAAUAUUGCUCAAUGGGGGAAACCCUGAAGCAGCAACGCCGCGUGGAGGAGGAAGGUUUUCGGAUUGUAAACUCCUUUUGUUAGAGAAGAUAAUGACGGUAUCUAAAGAAUAAGCACAGGCUAACUCCGUGCCAGCAGCCGCGGUAAUACGGAGGGUGCAAGCGUUACUCGGAAUCACUGGGCGUAAAGAGAGCGUAGGCGGGAUAGCAAGUCAGAUGUGAAAGCCUAAGGCUUAACCAUGGAACUGCAUUUGAUACUGUUAUUCUAGAGUAUGGGAGAGGUAGGUGGAAUUCUUGGUGUAGGGGUGAAAUGCGUAGAGAUCAGGAGGAACACUGAUUGCGAAGGCGACCUACUAGGACAUAACUGACGCUGAUGCGCGAAAGCGUGGGGAGCAAACAGGAUUAGAUACCCGAGUAGUC